UACGUAGGGUGCGAGCGUUGUCCGGAAUUAUUGGGCGUAAAGGGCUCGUAGGCGGUCUGUUGCGUCAGGAGUGAAAACUCGGGGCUUAACCCCGAGCCUGCUUCUGAUACGGGCAGACUAGAGGUAUGCAGGGGAGAACGGAAUUCCUGGUGUAGCGGUGAAAUGCGCAGAUAUCAGGAGGAACACCGGUGGCGAAGGCGACUACCUGGCCCAUUCUUGACGCUGAGGCGCGAAAGCUAGGGGAGCGAACGGG
rnacentral:rRNA from 1 species